AACGGCCGCGGUACCCUAACCGUGCGAAGGUAGCAUAAUCACUUGUUCUUUAAAUAGGGACUCGUAUCAACGGCAUCACGAGGGCUAUACUGUCUCCUUUCUCCAAUCAGUGAAACUGAUCUUCCCGUGAAGAAGCGGGAAUUAUUGUAUAAGACGAGAAGACCCCAUGGAGCUUAAAACUCAAUAUAUACCUCUACGCAUUUAUAUCACUAUAGCCUAAGAAAAUUAUAUAUUAGUUUUGGGUUGGGGGGACCGCGGAGAAAAAAUUAACCUCCACGACAAAUAGGCCAACGCCUUUAUCUAUGAACCACAAUUCUAAGAAUCAAUAAACUGAUGUUUAAUGAUCCAAUUUUUUGAUCAACGAACCAAGUUACCCUGGGGAUAACAGCGCAAUCUACUUCAAGAGCUCCUAUCGACAAGUGGGUUUACGACCUCGAUGUUGGAUCAGGGUAUCCUAGUGGUGCAGCCGCUACUAAAGGUUCGUUUGUUCAACGAUUAAAACCCUACGUGA
rnacentral:rRNA from 1 species